UACGUAGGGGGCAAGCGUUGUCCGGAAUUAUUGGGCGUAAAGCGCGCGCAGGCGGUUUUUUAAGUCUGGUGUAUAAGCCCAGGGCUCAACCCUGGGAGGCACUGGAAACUGGAAGACUGGAGUACAGGAGAGGAAAGUGGAAUUCCCGGUGUAGUGGUGGAAUGCGUAGAUAUCGGGAGGAACACCAGUGGCGAAGGCGGUUGCCUGGAGCUUUGCUGACGCUGAUGCGCGAAAGCGUGGGGAGCGAGUCCGG
rnacentral:rRNA from 1 species